CCGCCAGACUCCUACGGGAGGCAGCAGUCGGGAAUAUUGCGCAAUGGAGGAAACUCUGACGCAGUGACGCCGCAUGCAGGAAGAAGGUUUUCGGAUUGUAAACUGCUUUAGACAGGGAAGAUAAUGACAGUACCUGUAGAAUAAGCUCCGGCUAACUACGUGCCAGCAGCCGCGGUAAUACGUAGGGAGCAAGCGUUAUCCGGAUUUAUUGGGUGUAAAGGGUGCGUAGACGGGAAUGCAAGUUAGUUGUGAAAUCCCUCGGCUUAACUGAGGAACUGCAACUAAAACUACAUUUCUUGAGUGCUGGAGAGGGAAGUGGAAUUCCUAGUGUAGCGGUGAAAUGCGUAGAUAUUAGGAGGAACACCAGUGGCGAAGGCGACUUUCUGGACAGUAACUGACGUUGAGGCACGAAAGUGUGGGGAGCAAACAGGAUUAGAUACCCAGUAGU
rnacentral:rRNA from 1 species